rnacentral:lncRNA from 10 species
GUGAUCUAGCUCCAAAUUCUGGCUUUGCAGUUGUUUCUUCAGCUUACUUUUAUUUUUUACUUUUUAAGAUUUUGUUCCUUAAGAAAUGAACACAGAGACAGACUCUGAUACAAGAAGUUUUGGGAGGAGUUCUUCAAGGGUCAACAAAUGUGAGUGAAUGACUAUAAGAAAUACAACACAAUUGGGCACAGGAAGACAGUGAACUUCCACAGAGUCGAUCAACAGCCUCAGCCAAUUCCACAGGUAUCUUUGUACCUGAGAAGUCUCUUCAGAGAUACACCAAAUGGAGAGAGGAAACCCAAAACUGUGGCAAUCAGGAAUCACAGAUUGAAUAAACCACAUAAUGACAAAGAAAUAACAAAAAACAUAACAGCAACUAUUUUCAUACAAAAAAUUGUCACCCAAAUUUGGCACAAGUGAUUUUGGAAAACUGAAUAUGUUUUUAUAAAACUGCCUUCCCUUAAGAUAUAUUUCUCCAUUAAAUAACAUAGAAUUAUUUUCAUUGAAUCCAUGGAGGAAUGGAGUUGGUUGUUAGAGAUGGGAAUAGGGAUAGUCAAACUACAGCCUGUGGCCACAUCCAGCCUAAAGCUGUCAUGAGAU